AUUGAACGCUGGCGGCAGGCCUAACACAUGCAAGUCGAACGAGUGGCGGACGGGUGAGUAAUGUCUGGGAAACUGCCUGAUGGAGGGGGAUAACUACUGGAAACGGUAGCUAAUACCGCAUACCAUCAGAUGUGCCCAGAUGGGAUUAGCUAGUUGGUGGGGUAACGGCUCACCAAGGCGACGAUCCCCAGCUGGUCUGAGAGGAUGACCCACCCCACUGGGACUGGGACACCGUCCAUACUCCUGCGUGAGGGAGCAAUGGGGAAUAUUUGACAAUGGGCGCAAGCCUUGUUCAGCCAGUGCGCGGGUAAUGAGGAGGCCCUUGGGUUUGAAAGUACUUUCAGCGGGGAGGCGUUACCCGCAGAAGAAGCACCGGCUAACUCCGUGCCAGCAGCCGCGGUAAUAC
rnacentral:rRNA from 1 species